ensembl:snoRNA
CCCUUUUUAAAAGCACUCAGUGGGCCUGUGGCUAAUGACCUAUUGAGCCAUCAAGAAAGGGGAGAAUGGAAACAUCUCUUUUGGGUGAAGUGACAGCGUGCUGUGUUGUUUUACUUCAAUUGGUGGUGUGACAAGG